CACGUAGGGGGCGAGCGUUGUCCGGAUUUAUUGGGCGUAAAGAGCUCGUAGGCGGCUCGGUAAGUCAGGUGUGAAACCUCCAGGCUCAACCUGGAGACGCCACCUGAUACUGCCGUGGCUAGAGUCCGGUAGAGGAGCGUAGAAUUCCUGGUGUAGCGGUGAAAUGCGCAGAUAUCAGGAGGAAUACCAGCGGCGAAGGCGGCGCUCUGGGCCGGUACUGACGCUGAGGAGCGAAAGCGUGGGGAGCAAACAGGAUUAGAUACCCUGGUAGUCCACGCCGUAAACGUUGGGCACUAGGUGUGGGGCCUUUUCAACGGGUUCCGUGCCGUAGCUAACGCAUUAAGUGCCCCGCCUGGGGAGUACGGCCGCAAGGCUAAA
rnacentral:rRNA from 1 species